rnacentral:rRNA from 1 species
UGCCAGCAGCCGCGGUAAUACGGAGGAUCCAAGCGUUAUCCGGAAUCAUUGGGUUUAAAGGGUCCGUAGGCGGUCUGGUAAGUCAGAGGUGAAAUCCUGCAGCUCAACGGUAGAACUGCCUUUGAUACUGGCAAACUUGAGUUAUUGUGAAGUAGUUAGAAUGUGUAGUGUAGCGGUGAAAUGCAUAGAUAUUACACAGAAUACCAAUUGCGAAGGCAGAUUACUAACAAUUAACUGACGCUGAGGGACGAAAGCGUGGGUAGCGAACAGGAUUAGAUA